AUACGGAGGGUGCAAGCGUUACUCGGAAUCACUGGGCGUAAAGCGCGCGCAGGCGGCUUGGUAAGUUGGAUGUGAAAGCCUACGGCUCAACCGUAGAACUGCAUCCAAAACUGUCAAGCUAGAGUGUGGGAGAGGAAGAUGGAAUUAGUUGUGUAGGGGUAAAAUCCGUAGAGAUAACUAGGAAUACCAAAAGCGAAGGCAAUCUUCUGGAACACUACUGACGCUGAGGCGCGAAAGCGUGGGGAGCGAACAGGAUUAGAUACCCUAGUAGUCC
rnacentral:rRNA from 1 species